UACGUAGGGUGCAAGCGUUACCCGGAAUUAUUGGGCGUAAAGAGCUCGUAGGCGGUUUGUCGCGUCUGCUGUGAAAACUGGAGGCUCAACCUCCAGCCUGCAGUGGGUACGGGCAGACUAGAGUGCGGUAGGGGAGAUUGGAAUUCCUGGUGUAGCGGUGGAAUGCGCAGAUAUCAGGAGGAACACCAAUGGCGAAGGCAGAUCUCUGGGCCGUAACUGACGCUGAGGAGCGAAAGCAUGGGGAGCGAACAGG
rnacentral:rRNA from 1 species